rnacentral:lncRNA from 1 species
UAACUUCUAUAUCCGAGAUUAGGCUCUUAAUAGCUUAAUAUAAUGUAAAUUUAAUGUAGCUAACUACAAUCCGCUAGCCAGCAGAGAAUUUGCAUUGUGUCACGCAGUGCCGACCAAGGUGCACCUUAUAAUUAUAUGAAUCACUCUCCGUAGUUAAUUUGCCAUUGUAGUGCCUUAUCCGGAAGGAUAAUAGCUAAACGAAAAUGGUGUCGUCGACCAGACUGCCCCUAAAAAACAAAAUGAAAUCCCCAGUGCUUUGCUGCUGCCUUUUGCUGGCUAUAUCGUGGUCAUGGACUCCUACCGUGUAUGCCGCCGGUGAGCUUCCUCCGAGUAUUUGAAUGAACAAAAUAAAAUAUGCACGCAAAGCAUUACUCUUACAGUUCACCAAGAAUGGCCUCCCUCCCAGCCCCGCAGCACCAAAUGUGAGUGCUUGCCUUUCAUAAAGUUACAUACGUUGCAAACAUCCAUGCAUGCAAUUGCGUGCAUGAAAAUUCACCAUAGUACAUAAAUGGCGAAGUAGGAAUCAGCGGCUUGUUUUUACCCCAGCCAUAUUCACAGCAGAUAACGACUGAGUAUUACACAGAAGCCAGCUCAUUUAUGUAGCUACCCUGCAUCUGACGUUCUGUACUCCGCCGAUAAGGCAAAUCAUUCCAUCUAUUUGUUCAAGAUCUUUGUAAUGUACAAGUCCGAUAAAACAUGACUGACCUAAACGCAGUCCCAAAAGCUGUGUAAUGCAAACACGACUUGCCAUGGCAUGGGCGUCAAAGCCUGCAUCUAAAUGGUUAUAGAUCUAUUACCAUCGCCGUUUCUUAAACCCCCUUACCCUUAGCCUUUGUUUCCCUAAGAUCCUCUUCAGUCAAGACCCCAACUGGCAACCCCACCUCCUCCGUCUGUACACCUUUCCUUUUCUUUCCAAACACAUUGGCUGCGUGCUUGGAAAGGUUGCACACCACCUGCCGGUUGGUGCGUGAGCGUGGAAAUGGAGGACGUGUUUCGGGUCCUCGAUUGCGAUGGCGAUGGACUGCUGGACCUCACCUGUGUCAACAAGCUAGGCAACCGCUGGGCGCUGCUCACGACUAGGAAUUGUGAUGGAGACUUUGGGGGCAAUGCGCCGGCAGAUGUUUGCCCCAGAGUCUUUGCAGUUCCACCACCACCGCCGCCUUCAACACCACCUUCACCAACAUUCACAGGUUAGCAUGGCCUUGGUGCCCGAAGCCCGGGCUUUAAGGAAUGGAAUAUUUACGGAGCACUCUUCUGUCUGAGAGGACAUGCUGUGUAUGUUGUAAUAUUGUCGUGCAACUGCAUGCGGCACGCUGCCGUGCAAGUGUAGAUUUGUUUAAUGUUAACCACAUCGUGUCCUAGCGUAAGAGCUAGGGUCGGGUCCUGUGUAACAUCCAAGGGCAUGACCAAUAGAUGGUAGUACAUACUUACAUAGUAGGAUAGGGAUUUAAACUCAACCGGGGUUUUACGAACGGGGCUCAGUCGAUGAGCAUGUGGUUGUUCGACUAACCAACUAACCUCACUUCCUCCGUCUGUACACCUUUCCUUUUCUUUCCAAACACAUUGGCUGCGUGCUUGGAAAGGUUGCACACCACCUGCCGGUUGGUGCGUGAGCGUGGAAAUGGAGGACGUCUAUAGGGUCCUCGAUUGCGAUGGCGAUGGACUGCUGGACCUCACCUGU